rnacentral:rRNA from 1 species
AAAACAUGUCUUAUUGAAAAUAAUUUUAAGUCUAAUCUGCCCAAUGAAAAUUUUAAUGGCUGCAGUAUCAAUAACUGUACAAAGGUAGCAUAAUAAUUAGUUUUUUAAUUAAAAACUAGAAUGAAAGAUUAAAUGAAAUAUAAACUUUAUAAAUAAAAUAAAAAUUAAAAUUAAAUUUUAAGUCAAAAUUCUUAAAUAUUAUUAAAAGACGAGAAGACCCUUUAGAAUUUUAUAUUAAUUUUAAUUAAAAUUAUAAUAUUAUUAAUAUAAAUUUUUAAUUAAUAUUUAAUUGGGGUAAUUUUUUAAUUUUAUAAACUUUAAAAUAAUUAAACAUUAAUUAAUGAAUUUAUAAACCUAAAUUUUAGUAUUUUAAAAUAAAUUACCUUAGG